UGGGGAAUAUUGCACAAUGGGCGCAAGCCUGAUGCAGCCAUGCCGCGUGUAUGAAGAAGGCCUUCGGGUUGUAAAGUACUUUCAGUCGGGAGGAAGGUGUCAAGGUUAAUAACCUUUGCAAUUGACGUUACCGACAGAAGAAGCACCGGCUAACUCCGUGCCAGCAGCCGCGGUAAUACGGAGGGUGCAAGCGUUAAUCGGAAUUACUGGGCGUAAAGCGCACGCAGGCGGUUGAUUGAGUCAGAUGUGAAAUCCCCGGGCUUAACCCGGGAAUUGCAUCUGAUACUGGUCAGCUAGAGUCUUGUAGAGGGGGGUAGAAUUCCAUGUGUAGCGGUGAAAUGCGUAGAGAUGUGGAGGAAUACCGGUGGCGAAGGCGGCCCCCUGGACAAAGACUGACGCUCAGGUGCGAAAGCGUGGGGAGCAAACAGG
rnacentral:rRNA from 1 species